rnacentral:rRNA from 1 species
UGGGGAAUCUUGGACAAUGGGGGAAACCCUGAUCCAGCCAUGCCGCGUGAGUGAAGAAGGCCCUAGGGUUGUAAAGCUCUUUCAGCGGGGAAGAUAAUGACGGUACCCGCAGAAGAAGCCCCGGCUAACUCCGUGCCAGCAGCCGCGGUAAUACGUAGGGGGCGAGCGUUGUCCGGAAUUAUUGGGCGUAAAGAGCGUGUAGGCGGCCUGGUAAGUCUGUCGUGAAAUGCUGGGGCUCAACCCUGGACGUGCGAUGGAUACUGCUAGGCUAGAGGAUGGUAGAGGCGAGUGGAAUUCCCGGUGUAGCGGUGAAAUGCGCAGAUAUCGGGAGGAACACCAGUAGCGAAGGCGGCUCGCUGGGCCAUUCCUGACGCUGAGACGCGAAAGCGUGGGGGGCGAACAGGAUUAGAUACCCCCGUAGUCC